AAUAACUUCAUUUUUUAUUUUUCCGUGUCCAACCUUUGACCAUUCAUUUUAUUUAAAAAAUUUAUAAAAAAAACUUUAAAAAAUUAGUCAGGUAUAAAGUACUAUUUAUAUUUUAUCAUCUAGUAAUAAUAAAAAUAUUAAUCGCAAAAAAAUUUCAUAUAAGACGAAUGGUCAAACGUUGGACACGGAAAAAC
rfam:Oryza brachyantha chromosome 9, whole genome shotgun sequence.